UAUUCCCUCCCUUGGCCUAUUUGUUUCAAUUUUUUUUUAAAUGCUGUUCCAUUUUUUAUCCCUCUGUUGAGGGAAUGCAAAUACAAUUUUACUCACUUAUGAAAUGGUUGUUCAAAUCAAUGAUAUUAGAAUGGCUAGAAAUGAGAAAGUUGUUUUUUGCUAAUCCUCUACUGCUAUGCACUCCCGCUUAUUUGCGUUUAGAUAUGAGAAGCUAUGAAACAAGAUCUUAAUUACCAAGAACCAGACUAAUCUCUAAAACUAGAACUGGAAUAUUCAGUGUAACUUCUUAGUAAGAAAAGAGAGUGUUCAAGGAAAUAGCAAGCAGCAUUUAACAGCUUUGUACAAAGUAUUAUUUUUCAGAGAGCAUUCAACCCAAUUAGAAUUGGGAAAUUUAGAAACUGUAUAAAGUCAUGCUCUCCAUAGAUCGAAUCGCUGUCUAGGUCAGGAGAGGGUUUAGAUAAAGUUCACAUCCAGAUGCUUUGCCAUCCAUUGGUGAAGAAGCUGAUGCUAAUUUGAGCAUCUGAUAUGUAGCUGAUACACAGUUCAUGUGUUUCUAACUUUGUUAAGCACUGCCUUUUUAAAAAUCAUCUUUUUUUUAGCCUGGAUUUUACUCUUCUGGCAACAGCUCUUAUAGGACUACUGUUGUUCUUGUUUCUGCAGCAUUUUUCAGUUUCCACCAUUAUAUUUACACACUGUAGAACUCUAGAGUUAUUUCAGUUUUGUAGGCUUUAGUUAAUAAUUGUCAAUGACCUAGCCAAAGCAUGAGAAGUGAUACCCAUUGGCAGAAGCGCAGUAUUUUACAAGUGCAAAGAUGGUACGCAGAAAUAUUAAACUGUUGGGAAGUUUAGUAACAUACUUCUGGCAUUCCUUCACAUGCUUGUAUAGGAGAUGGAUUACUGUAUGAAAUAGAUUAAAUUCUCUGUCCUACUCAGAUAAAUUCAGUGUGAUUCUCCUGAGUAGAGUUAACUCGACGGUCUGCCUCUCUGUUUACUUGACUACAGCAGUGAAGUUGUUAUGUAUAUCUCGUUGUGGCUUUUUGUUGUAAUCGGACCACAUCAGCAAAGCGUUAUCUGGACCUAUAUGAAGCAUAGCUGGUAGAGACUCAAUUUGACAACUUGUGUUGUGUCAGUUUCUCUCGCUUUCUUUUAGAAAACCAUGUGGAAAAAAAAUAAAUAAGAAUAAAUAAUCAUGACAGUUUCUCUCAGUUUUGAUAGUGACCUCCUAAUUUCUCAGAGUGUAGUACAUGCUUAGUACUUAGGAAAUAUGAAUGUCGUGGACUACUUUGCUGACUGAGGAAACUUCAGUUAUUUUUUCAAUCAGAAUACAUACACACUCUUACCUCCUUAACUGGACAAAGUGGAUGAUAAAUAAUCACUUUUAUCACCUUUCUGAAAGGAUUAACUUGUCUCCUCUCAUAGCAGAAAAUACCAAACCAUCAAACUAGAAAGCAGGCUUUGUGAAUAGCCUUGCUGAAUUCCUAGUUGUUUGCUCUGGCAGUUUCCAAUGAAGCAGCUGGUUGUCUUUGGAAAGCUAUGCCUGUUGUUUUCAGUUUGAACAUCAUGUGUCUUUAAUUUUCAGCACUAGCCAGAGGGAUAAGUAUCACAAAUAUCUGCUUGUAGGCCUCUUGCCCUUGGGAACCAAAUAUAUACUUGGCAGCCUCUCUGACUGUGGGACUGAAGAGAGAAUCAAAAUUGACUCAUUGCUUUAUAUCCUCUGAAGCAGAAGAAAGAAUAAAAAGGGCAAUUGCUGCUUCCUUCAGUUGCCUGAAGCAAGUCUUUCCUAGUUUGCAAAAAAUAAACUAAUGCCAUUUUCUGAAAUGAUCUGCUCCCUAUCUGAACAGAAUAUUCCAUCCAGUCUCAUACAGCUAAUUCUGGGACUGUACUCUCCCUAGACUUCUGUGUUUCCCAGUGCAAUCUUGAAUACGGUUCAGAUCCUACUUGAGUCACUCCAAGUUAAAUGUAAUCAGAAAUGGGUAUUUACAUCUUUCACACAACAUUCAUCUCCAAUGGAAUCUUGUUUUUCAACUGAACAAAAACAAACACUAACUGAAAUCACAGAAUUGUAGGGACUGGAAGGGACCUCUAGAGAUCAUCGAGUCCAGCACCCCUGCAAAGCAGGCCAGCACCCCUACAGCAGGCAAAUUAGUUCAUAAAAUGCUGUGUGCACUGUCGGGGGCACAUCUCUGGAGUGAGCCUUAUUUUUUCUUCCUAAGCUGUUAACAUGUUUUGAUCUCCUACUGCAUGAUUAAGGCCAAAGUAAAUGAAGACCAACCUAUGACUUUUAGUGAAGCGAUGUUUAUUUCCACGCCAGUGGGUAUGCCUUACAAAUAUUCCCAACUUAGAUGUGAUGCUGAAAUAAACGAUGUUAGUCCCAAUGUAUGCAUUAGGUAAAGAUCAAGCAGGAUGCCAGAUGAUCUUUGAUUCAUUUUAGAGAUGUUGCUAGGCAGAGCUCCAAACUCGCACCAAGUGAUGCCAAGACAUUUGCUCAUGCCUUCGUCAUCCCUUAUCUAAAGUGGUGCAACUGCCAGAAAUAAUUUGAAAAACUUCACACAUUCCACAUUUUGCACAUUGCUCUUUUCUACAUAAAUAUUGUUACUUUGUGAUUCCCACUUAAAAAUAGAAUUCAAGUCUUGUAUUUGAGAUCAGCAGAGGAUCUGUCCUUAAGACAGCGCUUACAUUUUUCUAGGAAAACUAUUAUUAUUUUAUAAUCAGCUCAGCUUAGCACAGAGGUCUUAUAUAACAAGUAGGCAGUUAUCAACUGAGAAAGUCCAGCAUUUUUUUCUUUCUUAGAAUUCAGAUUUGUUACUACUCCCUAAUUCAGUGCGUUGUUAGGAAGUAUACUUUUGAAUUGUUAAGAGACUUGUACUACACAGAUACAAAAAGAAUUUUAGUUGGAUAAGCUCUAAAAGAGGAAUGAAUAUAUUAGCUUAGCAUGAAUCUGAUCUUACCUUGUCUUGCAAAAAAGUGAUACAGAACCCACUGGAAUUUGUUGUUGUCUCAACGCUGAAGAAGACAGGGCUCAAAAUGGUUCAAGUUAUUCCUGGUUUGAAAGAUACAUAAGACAAGACAGAUAAGAGAAAACAAGAAGAAAAAUCACGGUGAAAAAAAACAACUUACAGUUGCAUCCCCUGCUUUCUUGAAGACAAUGUACCGUAUCGUGGUGGGGAAAAGAAAAGAAAAAAAAAAGCAGAUUUCUCUGGACAGCAAUCAUCCUUCAGCUUCUAGAACAAGUCCAUGCUAGCUUUGGCUUCUGCAUGGGAUAUAGCUCAUGUAUCAACCACAGACAGCAAAUGGGACUUUCUGUUUUCUGUGGGCAGUGGAAAGCGAUCUGCCUUUUCACAUUUACUUCUGGAAGCCUGUCACAAGGAAAGUGUAAGAUCAAGCCACUACUGUGCCAAAGCAGAAGGACAAAGGGACCUGGCGGCUGGAGUAACAAACGUACUUCUACAUCUCAGCUCUGAUUCACGUUUAGUUUCAAAUGGAGGACUUCACAUUUCAAAUGAGAUAUUUGCUCGGUAAAAUAUGUGUAUUUCAUAUUUCAUUACCACAUGCUAUAUAUCUCAUACAGUGGUUAAGUAAUGAAGGAGUGAGGAAAAGGUUGUAAUCUCGGGGAGUUGUAACCGUUAAGAUCCUAUUGAAUAGGAUUUUCCUUUGGUCUGUACUGUUAUCUCACUAGAUAAAACAUUGUGCAUUAUGAUUGAGCUAAUUGUGCUGGACAAGCCAGUCUGCAGUCCUAGAAGCCUGGAUUUUCAAACGCGCUGAGCACAAGCAGCUGCAACUAAAGACAGUGGGGGCAUACAAAUGUGCAAUUAAACGUGAAGUUCUCUAAAAAUUCAGACCAGAGGCUGGCUGUAAGGUUGGAGCAGAGAUACUACCUUGCCUCAUGGGUGCUAUGAAAAUUGUGGCGGACUGAGAAGUUACACUGAAAAGACUACGUAGAGAUGAAGUCUUUCUUCAGCGUGGGGUUUGAAUAUUAAAAAAAAUGCCUUGAACCAAAGAGAAGAAUAAAAAGAAAACAAGCAGGUAUAGCUUGCCUAUUUGUGGACUGAAUGGAUGUAGCAUCUCGCUCCCCCUCAAUCCUUCCCCUCCAGUAUGUGUACUUAAUAUGUAUACCACAUGGUCUGAAUUAGUGUUGUGCAGGCGUAUCUAAUUCUAGCAUUCCCUACUCUUAUUUUUUAAUAUAUGUAAUAUGCAUAAAGAAUGCGUAUUUGAGUAAGAAAUCUUUAUAGAAUCAUUGAAUAAUUCAGGCUGGAAGAAGUAUUGAUAGGUCAUACAGUCAAGCCUCUGUUAAAAGCAGGGUCAAUGCUGAAAUCAGCACAAGUUUUUCAGGGCUUUGUCCAGUUGGGUCUUGAUAAUCAAGGUAACAUUCAUGAGGCAAUUGGUUCCAUUGUUUAACUUUGGGAAAGAUCUGGCAUUUUGAAGGCAGGUAUCUUUGUGCAUGGGUAUUUAGCUAAGCUUGUACUGAGGAUAUAUCUAAAUGAUGUUAAAAUAUAGGAUUGGGAAAACAGAAGGAGAAAAGCUGCUUUUAGUCCUACUAUACAGAUGCUACAAAUAAAUUUGAGUUCUUAAAUGUCAGUAUUACAAACCUGGGUUUCUGGGAAUUAAAGAUAACUGCAAUUUCAUUUAUAUAUUUCGUAUGCUUUGUCUUGUCAUGUCAGUCAUAUUUUGGAAUUUGAUUGCACUGUUUAAGUCUGGUAAAAUUAAGUUGGACCUUAUACUGUAAGUAUAAGACAGUCUUGAAUGCGUAAAACUUAGAAACUGCAAUCAUCGAUUUCCUGAAUGCCUUUAGCAGAAGAACACAACCCAAGUUACCUUGGUUUGGAUCUGUCUGCUAAGUUUCCCAAGUCACACAAGGUUUUAAUUAACAGCUGAAGAAAACUAUCAGCAUCAAAUGAACCUUGGAACAAAUAUCGUAAUAAUGGAUGAGAACUCUCAACAUUUAAAUAAUCUUGACUUUAGCAAGGUUUUCAGCACUGUCUUCUAUAACCUACUCAUAGGCAAACUAAUAAAGUACAGGCUAGAUAAUGGCCAGUGGAGGGUGGACUCAAAACUGGCUGAAUUUCUUGACUUAAGGAAUUGGGACCAGUGGUACAAAGCCUAGUUAGAGGCCAAUCACUAAUGGUAUACCCAAGGGAUCAGUAGUAGGGAUACUUUAUUAAUUACCUGAAUGAUAGAACAGACUGUACCCACAGCAAGUUCUCUGAGUGGUUGAUAGACCACAUGGCUGUGAUGCCCCUCAGGAGGCACCUCAGGAGGCUGGAGAAAUGGGCUAGUAAGAACUUUAUGAAGUUCAACAGAAAAGUGCCAAAUCCUGCAUCCUGGGAGGAAUAGUGGCUGGUACCACUACAUGCUGGAGUGUAGAUGGCUGGAAGGCAGCAUGGCAGAAAAGGCUCUGGGGGUUCUGAUGGGCACCAGCUUGACCAAAGCCAUCAAUGCACCCUUGCAACAAAAGGCCAACAGUGUCCCAGGCUGCGUUAGGAAGAGCAUUGCCAGAAGGUUGAUGGAGGGGAUCCUUCCUGCCUCCUCAGUACAGAUGGGACACACCUGGAGAGCUGGAUUUAAUUCUGAUUUUCCCAGGGCAGCAAAGACAUGGACAUACUGGGGAAUACCAAGGGCUAUGAAGAUGAUUAAGGGACUGGAUUAUCUGGCAUGUGAAAAGAGGCUGGGAGCUGGGACUGUUGAGUGUGAAGAAAAGAAAACUCAGGAGGGAUCUCUUUAAAGUGUAGAAGUACUGUACGGAAGGGUGUAAAGAGAACAGAACCAGGCUCUUCUCAGUGGUAUUCAGUGAAAGACAAGAGGCAAUGGGUACAAACAGAGAAAGUUCAAUUAAAAAAAAAAUGUAUUAAAAAAAAAAUGUAUAUGAGGGUGGUCAAACUCUUGAACAAGUUGUGGAGUCUCUAUCCCUGGAAAUACUCAAAACUCAACUGGACACAGUCCUGAGCAACGAGCUCUUAUUGACUGUUUUUGUCAAGAAGUUGCGUUAGAUUAUUUUCAGAAGGGUAUUCCAACCUCAGCCAUUCUGUGUUGAGCUAGGCAGUAUUUUUUCCAGUUUCUCUUUUAUUCACUUCCCUUACAGUGUUGGCAGAAUAGGUGCAUUUCCAUCCUAUUCUGGUUUUCUGCUUAUUUUCUCCUUUACCAGCUCCCUCUUUUCCUUUUAUGGGCACUGCUCUCUAAUUUUAUAAGUUAUUACAGUGUUCUGCUACAUCUCCUACAGUCAAAACCUACUUCUUCUGGGAGUGAAGCUUCAGAGCAGCAUUACUGAGUGUCCCUCUGAGAAAAAAAAAAUAAAUUAAACAAAAUAUAAUGUGGGAUGUAGCAGGAACAGAAAUUGAAGCAUUCUUUCUUAUCUCCCUGCAGUAGAAACCAAAUUUAUUUCAUUGUACUAUUCAAACUGAAUAGGCUGAAGACUUAUAAAGGGAAAGAACUAAUUUUCUCAUAAUUACAUAUAAACCAAAGAAGUGACCAUGAAUGAGAACUGACAUCCUAAUAAUAGUGGUAAAGUGUAGUUAUUAUAUGAGAACAGAAAUUUGUAAUUUAAAUAAUCUGAGGGAGAGGAGCUAAGGAAAUAAAAAUACCAAAGUUGAAUACUUAUAAUAAAGAUAAUUAGAAUUAGCAGUAAAUAUUGCCCUGAAGCGUGCUGUUACAGCUGAGACCAUUUUGUAAUGUCUAAGAUGCUAUGACAUAGUGAUUUAUACACUUCUCAACCUAAAUGUUAGAGGAAAACUGUAUUCUAUUGCCUUAAUGCAUUUCCUGCCUUUCAGCGGAUGGCUGUGACUGGCCUACUCACUUUUCAGACAGCUUUGAGUAGGUUUUUGAAAUAAGUAUUUAACCACAUAAUGACAUGAACUCAGCAGUGCCUUGCUGGGGCAGUAGGAGCAUUUUUAAAUACCAGUGCAUAAAGCAUGGAACUAUAGCAAGCCAUUUAAAUGAUCAACGCUUAGAUUCUUAGUAGGCUAGAAGAGAAUUGCAGGAUAAUUGAAAAUGCUUUGUUUUUGUGAUAGCUACUCUUACUAGGAUUGUAGUAACAUUCAAAACUUGUUCAGUACAAUCACAGAAAACCUUUUGAACUCUAAUGUUUCACAGGGGAGCAGACUCACUUUUCCCAAUUGAGCUAAUUAUGGGAGGUCCACAAAUCAUAUAUAUAUAUAUAUAUAUAUAGUUUGUUUGUUUAGCUCUUUCUGCUUUUUUCUCUCUAACAAUCAUUUUUAACUAGUGGUUCCAUUUGGCCUUUAUUCUGGUUUCAGCCACCUCUGUAGCACAGCACCGGGGGCAAGGAGGAGCCUGAACAGGUGGCCUGAAUUAGGACAGUAGUUGUUCCAUACCAUGUAAGAUCAUGUGGAAGGUCAUAAAUCUGUGGGUAGUUGGCUAGGGGCUGGCUGCUGCUUGGGGGGUUGCUGGGUAUCAGUCAGAAGAGGUGAGGCCUUGUGUUGCUGGUAGGCUGUUGUAUUGUUGCUGUGCCUUAGGUGGCAAGUAAUUGCAUUGUGACUCUCCGUAUUGCCAUCAUUGCAGUUUUGUUUCCAUUUUCCUCUUAUGUCUUAGUAAAUAGUUUUUAUCUCAACCCACGAGUGUAUUUUGUUUCAAAUUCUUUCCUUUGUCCUGCUUGAUAGGGAAGAGUGGAUAAAAGGCAGCGGGGUGUGGAGGUGCUGCCUUCAAUGAUGGGUUUUGCUUCUAUAUACUAUUGUAUAAAAUUAGACCCACCAGUAUAUUUACAUAACGAUACCAUUAAUUAGUGCUAUUAGAUCAUAUUUUCAAGAGUCUAAGUAGAAUGGAUCUUCUAAACUUCGUCUGCUCCGUUUCAGCAAGCCCACAAGCUCUUAUUUUUUAUAGUGAUGUUCAGGCUUUUUUAGUCUCACUUUCUGGAAUGUUUUGUUUUACUCCUAAAGAUACUGACUGGGAGAAAAACAUCACUUAAUUUCUGCUAAGAUCUAGGCUUAAUGUUUGUGCUUGGCUUUUCUCUACCUCUGUUUUUUUUAUGUUUUAUGUUUCCUUCUUCGAACAAAUUAAUUAAUAGUUCUUAAUAUAUUAGGAGUCAUCAUAAAGAUUGUUGAUUUGGGUUAAAGGCUAUGUCACAAACGGUCAUUUGUAGGAAGAGCGGAGAGUUUGCUCCACCUCUGCUCUGUGCCAUGCACAACUGAAAACAAGACCAAAAUAGCUAAUUUAGAAACAGCAGUUAAAGGAUCCAAACGUAAGUAAUUUUUGUGCUCUCUUGGAAGUGUUUGAGCUAUUUAUGAAAUUCAGAUAGUGUAAUUAACAUAUCUAAAUAAUUCUAGAACAAAUGAUGACGAGAGAGAUCAUUCCGGAUUGUGUAACAUUCUCUUCCAUAAAAAUAUUUUCCAUUUUAUUAUGUGGAACAUUUAUAACCCAAAGGAUUCAUGCAGAAAUCCACAGUAUAAUUGUGGCAAUAGAGAGGGAUAUGACACAGCAGAAUGAAAAUUGCUUACCAUGAAGUACAGAUUAAAGUGUGGUCAAUAUCUGUGCUUGCUUUUAAUUUUGGAUUGAAGGCAUGGUUAUGCCAUAGAGUUAAUACAGUGAAGGCAAAAUUGCGUGCAACAUUUCUCUUUCAUCUCCUAGCAUUUUCCAAAUUGAAAUAAUUUAUACUCAGGAUGUUAAACCAAAUAGAAUGUACAUAAAGUAUGUAUCUCUACCAACAAGAUCCAUCAAGGUGAUGCUGGGGAACUUGAAGAGAAAAAUAUCUUCAUCAAUAUCAUUAGUACUGCAAACACACUGGACGCAGCAGCUGAAACCAAAACCUCAAGUACUAUGUAACCAUGUAAUAAAAGGCAGUUCUUGAUCUUAUUUUUGUGUUUAAAGUAUAUACAUCAGAUAGAAAGGAGGGGAAAUGGGACUGGAAAGUCUGGCAGGAGGAGCUAAGCGCCUGUCCCAGUAUAGCUGAAGAGGCUGUACCAGAGGCAGGAGCUGCUCCCCUCAGAAUCUCAGCUAGCACUUCCAUAGCAUUCUCUUCAGUGAAAGAGAACUGGAAGAUAAAUAAAAAGAUUAAUGGGUUUAUCUUGCUUCAAUAAAGCAUUUAGCUUGGUAUCAGUUUGAAGUUUGAGUCUUGUCUUAUUCUAUCUACAUGAAUUCCUCUGUCUCAUAACUUAGUUAUGCAUUUUAGCCGUCUGGUCUGUUUCAUGCAAGGUAGUAAAUACUGUCUCUUUUUAACAGUUGAAAUGUCAGGAUAUGAUUGCUUUGAAUGUGCAAGAUGAAAUCUGUGAAAUGCUGCAUUUCUUUUUCAGCGAGCUCUGAAAAGGAGCCCAACAUGGUUUUCUUGUUCAUAGGGCAAAGGACUGAAACUGACCUUUGGGGUCACAGAGUCCAGUGCGUUUCCCCAUCAGUACUUCAAGGACAGCGACUGCAAAGUGCCUUAAAAUCUGCUGAUGAACAAACAGCUUUAAAU